UCAAUGAAGUCACUGGACAGCAAGGGGACUGGAAGGAGACAUCUCAGUCCGAGAAAUGGCUCACUGUUUAGAGGAUGCAGUUUUCAACAACAAACGAGACACAGGAACAAAUUCACUUCAACAAAUACGAGCCACGGAAACAAGAAACUGCCUCUAAAAGGAAACAGUAGUUAACGUAAAGUGUCCCCAAGGAGGAUCAGGCUCUGGCCUGCAGAAAACGUCAAGGUAGUUUUGUUAAUACGUUCGAAGAACUCGAGGAACCCUUAGCCCAAACUGAUAAAACUGGAGGCAGGUGUUCACAGCCUUGAAGCUGACCCCCCCCCCAAGGAAGAGAACACAGGUCCAGGGCCAUGGGUACAGCUGCAGGCUUCCAAGGGCAGGCCACAGUGCUGCGAAGAUAGGCAGGAGUGGGCAGGGCUGUCACAUGGGGCCUCACGAGGGUGAGCACUGGAGGCUCUGUAGGAGGGCAGAGGCAAUCAGGGCCAGCCAGUGACCCCCCCAAGCCCUUCUGGGUCAAGAUUUGCCCGUACCCCAGAACACCGAGAAACAAUGGAUCACCAUUGCGGAACGUGUUGGCCGUUGCAAGAUAAUGGCCAGGAUCACUCAGCGAUUCCAAAAUAGUCCAUCCAACCUUCCCUAAGGGACAGGGCUGACAGGCAGAAGACUGCCUGUGUGAGACAAAAAAAAAAAAAUGUCCUCUGCCACAUGCUCGGAGGACAGCCAGGUUCACAGCAUCAAAGGGCUAAAAACCUCACUGUAAACAAAUAAACUCUAAAAGUAAUCCAAGGAGUAGGCCUUCUCCCAAGAUUCUGGGAGGGACAAUGGGUCCCAUAACUCGGAGCAAGGAUAAAGAUAGAUGACCACAGGACCGCGGGAAAGCGAGGCGCUUUCAGGACACUGGUGGAGUGGCUGAAGCGAAGGCACGUCAGACCACCGCUACCCUGCCACAGCAGUGUCAGCAUGAAACAGACCCGACGCCAACGAGAUGUACAUAGCCCAGGCUGGCCUCCAACUGGAUGUGUAGCCAAGGACCUUGAACUUUCUGGUCCUCCUGCCUCCUCUGGAGUGACGAGAUUACAGGAACUAGGCAACCAGAGGAACAGAGCCACACACAAUUGGAGCUGGGAUCAAGUAAACACACAGACCCUGCUUGGUGGCCAGCACCUGUAGCCCCAGUUACUCAAGAGGCUGAGAAAAAAAAUCAACCAAGAAACCAAGCAAGAACAAAACAAACUGACCAUCACUACCAGAAGGCCACAAAUUGCACUGAGAUUAAGGUUAGACUUGAACAAGCUUCCAAAUAGACAAAGAGACCAGGUCAUGAUGAAGAGGACCGGCUUGUUUGACAAGCUGAACCACAGAAGUCCCUCACUGGACUACACGGCCAAGUUGCUGAUUCUUAGCCCAGAGUAAGCUAUGGAUAACCAGACAUCCACCACAACUGCUCUGAGAGACUGUCAUUUUGUUCCUGCUUGAAUUUGGUGAGGCUCCUAAAACCCUAGAAAUGCCUGCAUGCACACACACACACAAAUACACACGUAUGCACAUACAUACACAGCAGUAGCAAAAUUACCAAAAUUGAGGGAAAUGGGAAGAUGUUUCUGUUUUUUCUAGGUAUGUGAGGUGGAGCUGUAGGUGUCAGGUCCCUCAGUGCUCAAGUUCCUUAUGUAGCAUGGUCUCUCUGCACACCCUCCAGCAAGCCUUCUAGUUGUGACAAUGCUUGACACAGGCCUGUGAUGUAUACACUGUGGACAUAUUAAAGCUACUGCAGGAAUUGGAUGUACCAAUUAUGGCUUUAAUGAGUGUUCAGAACAGUAUGAGAUAUAGUCAAUGCUUAAAUGUCGCGGGGAGAAUAAAGUAC